rnacentral:lncRNA from 1 species
CUAAAUGUUUUGCUCAGAAGGAGAGGAGAUGGUAAAUGAUCGCUCCAAGCGUGCUUCGAUGAAAGCAAGCUUCUGAGGCCACACAAUCAAGUGGGAACUAAACAGUGGCAGACAAAUGAGCUGCUUAUGCCAGCGAGCUCUCAAAGCCAGCCAAGUUGAAGGGAAUACAAAAACACUGUCCAUUUACCUCGGGAGUUGAAUAAGAAGAGCCAAGGGGAGACAUCACAAAGCUUUCUGCUCCACCAGGGAACAGACUCUGGACAAUACCUUUAACUUCACCUGACGUUUAGCUCAUUCUUUGUGUUCCAUGUUCCAAGAUUAUUUUAGUCGAUGCAUUGACUCAUCACAUGUUCGCAAUUACUCAGAGCUCUGGCCUUCCAAAUGGCUCAGGGAGUAUAAGCAUUCUGAUAGUCCAUUGGCACAGAGUUCCUGAAAGUGGAGCUGGGAUCAUCACCACUGCAGCUAACAGUCACCAGCCAUUUACAGUAUUCACAUGUAUCCCACCUCAUUCCGGAUAAUGUGUCACGGGAGUCGAAGCAUUGUGUGUUCUCUACUGGCAUGCUCACUUCCUGCACACAAGAAUGGGUGGGUACCUGAGGACACCAGCCACGCCCUGAGGAGUGGAGAUGUGGUAUCCCGAAAGAGAGCACCAGGACACAAGCAGAGACCCUCUGCAUCCUGAGCUGGGGAGGUGAGCUAGACAUGCAGCUGGGGUCUCAGAGACUACAGGAGUUGAACAGGAAGUGGGGCGGAAAAGAAGAGAGUGUUCUGGACCACAGGAACAGCACCCAUGAAAAUCCGUGCUGGGAAAGAGAGUCUGAGUUACCGAGAGGGCCCGCCAGUCAGACGUUGGGACAUUUUUGAAGAGAUUGCUGGAAGGGCAGCACCCCGGCACUUGGCUUGGCCGGCACCAUGGCGUAGCAGAGUUCCAGCUUAUGCCCUCUUGCCUUUUCUCCCGUAAGAGAAUACUAGCUAUUUAAAGCUGUGCACAGACAACCUGGAGUUAGAUCUACAUUUCCUACUCCCUUCCAACAGUUACGACCGUGGCACCACGUAACUAUGGGA